rnacentral:rRNA from 1 species
AGUGAACGCUGGCGGUAGGCCUAACACAUGCAAGUCGAACGGCAGCACAGUAAGAGCUUGCUCUUACGGGUGGCGAGUGGCGGACGGGUGAGGUAUACAUCGGAAUCUACUUUUUCGUGGGGGAUAACGUAGGGAAACUUACGCUAAUACCGCAUACGACCUACGGGUGAAAGCAGGGGAUAUUCGGACCUUGCGCGAUUGAAUGAGCCGAUGUCGGAUUAGCUAGUUGGCGGGGUAAAGGCCCACCAAGGCGACGAUCCGUAGCUGGUCUGAGAGAAUGAUCAGCCACACUGGAACGGAGACACGGUCCAGACUCCUACGGGAGGCAGCAGUGGGGAAUAGUGGACAAUGGGCGCGAGCCUGAUCCAGCCAUACCGCGUGGGUGAAGAAGGCCUUCGGGUUGUAAAGCCCUUUUGUUGGGAAAGAAAAGCAGCAGGUUAAUACCCCGCUGUUCUGACGGUACCCAAAGAAUAAGCACCGGCUAACUUCGUG